UUGCAGCUGGUCACCUGAAUGACAGCAGGGCUGCUGGUGUCCACAAGCUGAAGACCACCUGCCCUGACACUUCUGUCAUGAGAAGCCCCGCUGUCUCAGUCCCUCCAGCACCGUCCUGAACAGGCCAAGACUGGCUGCAAUCCAGUUAAAAGAAGGCUUGUAAGAGAGAUGCAGGAACCUGAGAGGCUAGAUAACUGCAGAGCUGAGAGGACCUCCCUCUGGACAUGUAAGGGCAUUGUCCAGGUGUCCCCUCCACUUGUGUGGUAUGGAGGACUUACACAUGCCCUAUCUAUGCAAGGCAGGAUGCUGGGAGUUACUGACUGCCAAGGACUUGAAUGACUCACCUGGUAAAAUAUGGCUCCCCUGGAGCUAGAGAAAUCAGCAUCAGCCCAGAACGGGGCCACCAUGGCCACGCGCUCCCUUCCGGUGAAGCCUCUUUGAGAGAAACAGGGCCCAAAAGAACAAAGAACACAGGCCACAGACAUGACCCAAGGCUACAGUCAGAGACUCACGUAGAAGGAAUCCCGCAGGGAGGAACCGAGGGGAAAGCCAAUCAGGAUCUUGAAGAUUGGUGAGUUAAAAUCCACAGUCCUGGCAAACAAAUUCUGGUCUCCGACUUCAGACCCGUAGGGGAAGAGGGAAAUGCCUAGACAAGGACAGAGGAGAGAGCAGAGUCCUUGAGGGUCAU